rnacentral:rRNA from 1 species
UGUAGGCGGUCAGGUAAGUGAGAUGUGAAAUGCCCCGGCUCACCCGGGGACCGGCAUCUCAUACUGCUUGGCUUGAGUACGGGAGAGGAUGUGGGAAUUCCUGGUGUAGCGGUGAAAUGCGUAGAUAUCAGGAGGAACACCGGUGGCGAAGGCGCACAUCUGGCCCGAUACUGACGCUGAGGCGCGAAAGCUAGGGGAGCAGACG